UUUUACUACUAUAUUCUAUAAAUUUUAUGAAGUGGCAUAGGAUUGUGACUUCGGUAAGUUCCAGGAAGUCAAAGUAAGAUUGGAUAAAGUUACAUGUGAUUAUAAGAGAUUGAAUGAUGUUAUACGAAAAUACGAAGGUUGUGCGAAAUUAAAAGAUAAUAUGAGAUUAGAUGAUAUGAUACGAUAAAUGUUUAUAGCUAUUUAAAUCAAGUGAAAUUUCGAGGACGAAAUUCUUUUAAGGGGGGAAGAGUUGUAACAUCCCGAAUUAUAGGGCUUGACGAAACGUUUGGAUAUGUGAUGAGGAAUAGUAGUUAAGUUAAACUAUAAGGUAGAAAUUUAAUACGAAAUGUCGAUUAUGCGAUUUUCGGCAAUUUCUUUUACCCACGUAAAAUCGUAAAUCGAAGCUAAGGGCUAAUAAUUUUAUAAAUUAUAAAAUUAUGGCCUAGCAUAAUUGUAAAUAAUGUGAGGAAUUAUUUUGGGCCAUUAGAAGGUAAUAAAAAAAAUUCUAUCGCAUAUUUUUUCAGUUUUUAGCGAAAUCAAUCGGCGAAACUUUUGAAGAUAUAGACGGGAAUAAUUUUACCUUAAACUAGAAUCUAAAUGCUAAAUGAGGGUAUAAAGAAAUCCUAAAUGUGAUAUCAUAUGGUAGGAAAAUAAAAUAUUGGAAGAUUAAAAGAAUAAUUAAAAAUAUUUUACAUAAUAAACUAAAUCUAGAAGAUUCUAAUCAAUUAUAUAUUAAUCUAGACUUCAUCUUCCACUCAUUUUCUUCAAAAAAAACCGUGCAUAUCAGCCCCCAUAGGAGAAGUAGACCUCAAGCUUUCAUCUCCCUCUAUUUUGCAAAUCGUUCGGUGAAAUCGAAUUCUAGACGCGUACUCCCCGAUGACUUGAGGCGAAGGAACCUAUAGUGCAUUUUGGAGACAAAGGAGUGAACCUAGAAGGUAGAGAAGUAUCAAGGUGAAAUAUGCUUAUGUUCAUAAGCCUAAGAGGUUAGAGUUGAUAGUAUGUCAGUGUGGUUGGGCAGCUUUGCAAUUUUUGGCUGGUCACUGGUGAUCAACAUGGUUAAAAGUCGUGGCAUGUUGUAUAAUAGUUCAAUCUUUGAUCUUUCGCUGGAUAAAUGUUAAGUUUUUAAUUGUAAUAGUUUUUAAUUGCUCUUUUUAAGCUAAAAAGAAAAUAGGAAAAUUUCAGUACGUGUUGUCGAUACUGAAACGUGACACCACGUAUUCGGUGGGUUUACCUACCGGGUAAGGGGUGUUACACAUCGUCUCUCCCAGCAGUGGUAGUGGUGUUGCUUUUGCUAGCUGCUGUCAGACACAUCCACCGCCCCACGACCGAUUUUGUUGAUUUGAGCCUCUUUUGUGUUCUUCUUAGGGGGAAGUGACGAGAACCAAACGAUUUCGAAGUCUCACCGCUGUUUGAUUGUAGUUUCUCGCCCGUCGACAGAUUUCUUCCUCCGCCUGUAGAAGAUUUCUUCAUCCACCGUAGAUGAGGAUUUUUCUAACUGCAUUAGUUUUUUGUUUUUCGCAACUCAUCCAUUUCUCGUGGAUUGCGGCGGGAGUCUCUCGAUUUGUUAUGUGUUCUAUCGACAAAAUUCUAUGGGUUUGUGUUGUCUUACAAAUCUUCUUUUUUUUAAUGAUGUUUUGAAUAUGAUCUAGGAUGGAAUUGUUAGGAUUUA